GCUCAGUUGGUUAAACUUCUGACUUCAGCUCAGGUCAUGAUCUCAUGAUCUCAUGGUUUGUGGGUUUGAGCCCCACAUUGGGCU
rnacentral:tRNA from 1 species